rnacentral:rRNA from 1 species
UACGGGGGGGGCAAGCGUUGUUCGGAAUUACUGGGCGUAAAGGGCUUGUAGGCGGCCAUCUAAGUCAGACGUGAAAUCCCUCGGCUUAACCGGGGAACUUCGUCUGAUACUGGAUGGCUUGAGAUUGGGAGAGGGAUGCGGAAUUCCAGGUGUAGCGGUGAAAUGCGUAGAUAUCGGGAAGAACACCCGUGGCUAAGGCGGCUCUCUAGUACGGUACUGACGCUGAGACGCGAAAGCGUGGGGAGCAAACAGG